rnacentral:rRNA from 1 species
AUGGGGGCUAGGAGCAGAGGAGGCACACGCAGCCUGCUCCUCCUCUCGCUCCACCUUCUCUGCCUCCGUUCCUGUCUGCGCUGCUCGGUCUCGGCGGCGGGCUCCGGCGACCCCUACGUCGGCGUGACGAUCGGCACGGCGGUGACCAACCUGUUGUCCCCGUCGGACCUCGCGGCGUUCCUCCGCGCGCAGCGCAUCACCCACGUGCGCCUCUACGACGCCGACCCACGCCUGCUCUCCGCGCUCGCCUCCUCCGGCGCCACCGCCAUCGUCGGCGUCCCCAACGACGAGCUCCUCGCGCUCGGCUCCUCCCCGGCCACCGCCUCCGCCUGGGUCGCCCGCCGGGUGCUCCCCUUCGCCGCCGCCAACUCCACCAGCCCGGGCCUCAUCUCCGCCAUCGCCGUCGGCGACGAGGUCCCCACCGCCCUGCCCUCCGCGCUCCCCAUCCUCCUCCCCGCCAUCCAGUCCCUCGCCGCCGCGCUCGCCGCCGCCAACCUCUCCUCCAUCCCCGUCUCCACCCCGCUCCCUUUCUCCAUCGUCCUCGAGCCCUUCCCCCCGUCCCAGGCCUACUUCAACCAGUCUCUCGCCAAAUCCUUCCUCCUCCCGCUCCUCUCCCACCUCGCCAACACCUCCGCGCCGCUCAUGCUCAACCUCUACCCCUACUACUCGCUGAUGCAGAGCAGCGGCGUCGUCCCCGUCGACAACGCCAUGUUCAAGCCGCUCCCGCCCUCGCUGGAGAUGGUCGACCCCAACACGCUGCUCCACUACACCAACGUGUUCGACGCCAUGCUCGACGCGGUGUACGUCGCCCUCAAGAACCUCAACGUCAGCGCCGGCAUCCCGGUGCUGGUCACCGAGACCGGGUGGCCGUCCUACGGGGACCGCAAGGAAGAGCCGUACGCCAGCAAGGACAACGCCAACACCUACAACUCCAACCUCAUCAAGCACGUCACGGAGAAGCCCGGGACGCCUAUGCGGCCCGGCGCGCAGGCGAGCGUGUACAUCUACGAGCUCUUCAACGAGGACCUGCGGCCGGGGCCGGCGUCGGAGGCCAACUGGGGGCUCUUCCACGGCAACGGCACGCCGGUGUACCUGCUCCACGUCACCGGGAAGGACGGUUUCUUGGGGAACGACACGACGGACCGGACGUUCUGCAUCGCGUCGGACGACGCGGACGAGAAGGCGGUGCAGGCUGCCAUGGACUGGGCAUGCGGCCCCGGCCGGUCUGACUGCACGGCGAUACAGCCCGGGGAGGGGUGCUACCAGCCCAACGACGUGCGGAGCCACGCCUCGUUCGCCUUCAACACCUACUACCAGUCGCAGGGCAAGGCCGGCGGCUCCUGCUACUUCCAGGGCGCCGGCAUGGUCACCACCACAGAUCCCAGUCAUGAUAGCUGCAUCUUUGUUGGAAGUAAAUUGUAUAGCAACGUCACCAAAUCUGACGGUGCAAACACAACCACGACGCAAACAAGUGAUGCAGAAGGAUCUGCGGUAUGGAGAAUGAGAACAGGAAGGGAGAAAGGUUUCUUGUCCGUCCUCCGUUUGCUGUUGAGCCUUAUGGUGGUGGUUAUCAUGACGAACUCAAACUUUUGGACAUAA